UGUACCAAAAACACUAUAAAAUCCUUCUCUGAAAAACGACACUUGUUUAGACAGAGAUGCUACAAAACGAAGUUUAAUUAGACGACCAACAUAAGCCUCUCUGCUACUUUUGCUAUUCAGAAGCCCCAGUUCUGUGCUCCAUUGGCCACCCAACACAGAUUCAGCAAAUCUUAGAAUUUGAGAGUCAAUGACUUCAGCAUCUAUGACCUCCUCGCACCAGCUACAUAAGCAAGGAUCUACAUUCCUUACAUCUUCUAGUGAAAUUUCCCUUCCGGCCAGUUGCAUAAGAAA
rnacentral:misc_RNA from 1 species